AGCGAACGCUGGCGGCAGGCCUAACACAUGCAAGUCGAACGGAUCCUUCGGGAUUAGUGGCGGACGGGUGAGUAACACGUGGGAACGUGCCCUUUGGUUCGGAACAACCCAGGGAAACUUGAGCUAAUACCGGAUGUGCCCUUCGGGGGAAAGAUUUAUCCGCCAUUGGAGCGGCCCGCGCCUGAUUAGCGAGUUGGUGAGGUAAAGGCCCACCAAGGCGACGAUCAGUAGCUGGUCUGAGAGGAUGAUCAGCCACCUUGGGACUGAGACACGGCCCAAACGCCUACGGGAGGCAGCAGUGGGGAAUCUUGCGCAAUGGGCGAAAGCCUGACGCAGCCAUGCCGCGUGAAUGAUGAAGGUCUUAGGAUUGUAAAAUUCUUUCACCGGGGACGAUAAUUACGGUACCCGGAGAAGAAGCCCCGGCUAACUUCGUGCCAGCCGCCGCAGUAAAAC
rnacentral:rRNA from 1 species